rnacentral:lncRNA from 1 species
CGCGCCCUCUGCUUCAGUGGCCCAGGGUUUUGCUGGUUUGGAUCCUAGGCACGGACAUGGCACCACUUGUCAAGCCAUGCUGAGGUGGCGUCCCAAAUGCCACAACUAGAAGGACCCACUACCAAAAUAUAGAACUAUGUACUGGGGGGGUUUGGGGAAAAAAAGCAGAAAAAAAAAAAAAGAUUGGCAACAGCUGUUAGCUCAGGUGCCAAUCUUUAAAACUAAAAUAAAAUAAAAAAUAAAUGCUUUUUAAAUGAAUAAUUGAACUUAAAAUCCAAAGGCACAUUAAUGGAAUAUAGAUUUUAAUAGAUUCUGUUCUUUAGCCUCAGACCCUGGAUGAAGGAACGUAUAAAUUUAGCCCUUAUAUUGGUCAGUGAUGACUGAAGAAAUAGUAGAUAUGCAAGGAAUACUUUGUUAAAAAACAAAUGAGACUCUAUGCAAGACACUAUGCUAAGCAGGGAGAUGGAGCAGAAUGGAAUAUAACAAAACUGGAAUUCAAAGUCUGUGAAGACAUAAUAUGCUAAACAGGGGUGGAGCCAAAUUUUGUGAGAACACAAGCCUAUGCAAAUUGGGGGGAACAACUUAGGAAAAAGAAUAUAAAAUUGUAAAUACAAAAUUAAGUACUUCAUCUUGGAAGAGGUUCAUGCAACUGCGGGGACUUGAAGCUUAAGUUUCAUUGUUUUCACAGUAAUUGCCUCUCUGGUGACAAGGAGACUAACGUACCAAAUACUGUGGAAUCUCUAAAGAGUGAUCAGAGAUCUCUGAUAGGGUAAAUCACAGAUUUCAUAGAAGAGAAAUUAUGAGCUUGAUCUUAGAGACAGAAACAAAGCAAAGGGUUGACAGGUGGAAGAAACAAGCUGUAACACACAGGUGAGAAAGAGCGAGAGCCCAUCUGUGAAACAGCGAGAAGCACCACCUGGCUAAUGUGGGGUUGGGUGGGGAAAGCCUUAGGAUAGUGGUUCUCAAAGCGUGAUCCUGGGCCAGCAGCAUCAGCAUCAGCAUCACCUGGGAAUUUGUUAGAAACGCAGCCACUCAGGUUCCAGCCCAAACUUACUCAAUUAGAAACUCUGAGGAUACAGCACAGAAAUCUAGACCUUAACAAGAAAUUUGAAAACCCAGGGGUUGGCCCCGUGGCCAAGUGGUUAAGUUCGCACACUCCGCUGCAGGCGGCCCAGUGUUUCGUUGGUUCGUAAUCCUGGGC